UACGGGGGGGGCAAGCGUUGUUCGGAAUUACUGGGCGUAAAGGGCUCGUAGGUGGCCAACUAAGUCAGACGUGAAAUCCCUCGGCUUAACCGGGGAACUGCGUCUGAUACUGGAUGGCUUGAGUUUGGGAGAGGGAUGCGGAAUUCCAGGUGUAGCGGUGAAAUGCGUAGAUAUCAUCAGGAACACCGGUGGCGAAGGCGGCUUUCUGGGUCUUACCUGACGCUGAGGAACGAAAGCUAGGGGAGCGAACGGG
rnacentral:rRNA from 1 species